rnacentral:rRNA from 1 species
UACGUAGGGGGCUAGCGUUGUCCGGAAUCAUUGGGCGUAAAGCGCGCGUAGGCGGCCCUGUAAGUCCGUUGUGAAAGUCAAAGGCUCAACCUUUGAAAGCCGAUGGAUACUGCAGGGCUAGAGUCCGGAAGAGGCGAGUGGAAUUCCUGGUGUAGCGGUGAAAUGCGCAGAUAUCAGGAGGAACACCUAUUGCGAAGGCAGCUCGCUGGGACGUAACUGACGCUGAGACGCGAAAGCGUGGGGAGCAAACAGG